rnacentral:tRNA from 1 species
AGGGGUUUAGGAUAACACCAGACCAAGAGCCUUCAAAGCCCCAAGUAGGAGUGAGAAUCUCCUAACCCCUG